AUGUUGUAACCUGCUGUCGAAAGAAUAACAGCAUACAAAUGCAACAAUAUGGGGAAAAAUCUAGCUCAUUGAGGUAUCCUGACCCUCUAUGCUUGUUGUCUGCUGGGCUGGUCACCGCUUCCGAG